GCAGCAAGCAAACUAAUCUCCACAAGGUUGCCGCGUAUUUAAAGACCGGCGGCCGAGGCAUAGCUAGCUACCCUCGGCUGCUUAAAAACUCUUUAUCCAUCAGUUGGGAGCAGGGGUAGGAAGCUUUCAAAACCGUUAACGAACGAGCAAACCAACAUAGUGGAUAUUCCGCCCAACUCGGCAAGUUGAUCAAGCCCAAAUGACACUUCUCAGUGCGGUGUAAACAGAAAUGGCCAAGGAAGCAGGCCCCACAGGUAUCUUUGCUAUGGCGAUUGUCAGACGGAUACGCAGCACAAAUCAUGCCCAAUCUUUAAAUAGUAACUAGCUCCAGAUAGGCGAUUCCACCUUAGUAGUUAAUGUAUCCUCUGAGUGCAGUUAAGUUAAUCGAUGACACCCGACAAAUCCAGUCCAUAUGGGCAGAGGGGUUGUCCGCUGGAAUGGAUCAUUUCUCGCACACUCUCUUCCCUGGGGAAUGGAUGGUUUUCGACAAAGGCUUCAAAAUCCAAUUCCUGCAAGGGAGCAGUAGAGAUUGGAUAAUCGUGGCCAGUUAU
rnacentral:sRNA from 2 species